rnacentral:rRNA from 1 species
UGGGGAAUUUUGGACAAUGGGGGAAACCCUGAUCCAGCCAUCCCGCGUGUGCGAUGAAGGCCUUCGGGUUGUAAAGCACUUUUUGCAGGAAAGAAACGUCAUGGGUUAAUACCCCGUGAAACUGACGGUACCUGCAGAAUAAGCACCGGCUAACUACGUGCCAGCAGCCGCGGUAAUACGUAGGGUGCAAGCGUUAAUCGGAAUUACUGGGCGUAAAGCGUGCGCAGGCGGUUCGGAAAGAAAGAUGUGAAAUCCCAGAGCUCAACUUUAGAACUGCAUUUUUAACUACCGGGCUAGAGUGUGUCAGAGGGAGGUGGAAUUCCGCGUGUAGCAGUGAAAUGCGUAGAUAUGCGGGGGAACACCGAUGGCGAAGGCAGCCUCGUGGGAUAACACUGACGCUCAUGCACGAAAGCGUGGGGAGCAAAUAGG